CACGUAGUUAGCCGGAGCUUUCUUCACAGGUACAGUCUUUUUUCUUCCCUGUGGACAAUAGUUUACAAUCCGAAAACCUUCUUCCUAUACGCGGCGUCACUGCGUCAGAGUUUCCUCCAUUGCGCAAUAUUCCCGACUGCUGCCUCCCGUAGGAGUCUGGGCCGUAUCUCAGUCCCAAUGUGGCCGUUCAACCUCUCAGUCCGGCUACUGAUCGUCGCCUUGGUAGGCUUUUACCCCACCAACUAGCUAAUCAGACGCAAGCUCAUCUAUCAGCGGAUUGCUCCUUUCCCACUAUUAUCAUGCGAUAAUUAUGGCAUAUGCGGUAUUAGCAAUGAUUUCUCACUGUUAUUCCCCUCUGAUAGGCAGAUUUCUUACGUGUUACUCACCAGUCCGCCACUAACCGCUCCUCUUGCAAGCAAGAGGUUAAGUUCGUUCGACUUGCAUGUCUUAUGUGCGCCGCCAGCGUUUUAUCCUGAGCCAGGAUCAAA
rnacentral:rRNA from 1 species